AACGAACGCUGGCGGCAUGCCUAACACAUGCAAGUCGAACGAGAACUUCGGGUCUAGUGGCGCCCGGGUGCGUAACGCGUGGGAACAUGCACUUAGGUUCGGCAUAACUCCCCGAAAGGGGUGCUAAUACCGGACAAUGUCUUCGGACCAAAGAUUUAUCGCGUUGGGAUGGGCGCGCGUUGGAUUAGCUAGUUGGUAGGGUAAAAGCAUACCAAGGCGACAAUCCAUAACUGGUCGGAGAGGAUGCUCAGCCACACUGGGAGUAGGACACGGCCCAGACUCCUACGGAAGGUAGCAGUGGGGAAUAUUGGACAAUGGGCGAAAGCCUGAUCCAGCAAUGCCGCGUGAGUGAUGAAGGCCGUAGGGAUGUAAAGCUCUUUUACCCGGGAUGAUAAUGACAGUACCGGGAGAAUAAGCUCCGGCUAACUCCGUG
rnacentral:rRNA from 1 species